rnacentral:lncRNA from 1 species
CACCAGGCAGGGCAAUGCUCCUUGCCAAAAGCAUUUUUUCCUGUGGGACUGGCACAAAACCUGAACUUCUAGCAUAAUUUAUUCAAGGUCUGAACAUGUUUUGAUGUAAUACAAACAACAUAGGCUCUGGAGUCAAAAAUACUACUAGGACUCAAAACCUAACUACCUGUGUGAUACUGACAAUUCAUUUUGUGCACAUCUCUGCACUACUUUUUUCAUCCAUACAAUUAUCUGUGUCGCAGUAACACAUGUAAAGCAGCUAGCACAGUACCUGCCAUACACCCAACACUCAUAUCAAAUCACAAAGUCUCCUGUUUAAAAAGCAAAUGCCCCUGGCAGGGGGUAACCACAAGCCCUUUUUAUUGCCAUCUGAGGAGAGUAGGAAAAAGGUAAAAGGAAGAAGAGUGGGAAAGUAAAGAGUGGCAGAUAAACAACUUCGCAGUUUUACUGAGAGCUGGGCUUGUGGCUAGUGAUGAAAGUUACAUCAGUUUUUAGAGAUCCAGCCAAGUAAUAAAAGUGCCCCCCUCUCCCGCCAAGGCAUAUAAUGACCAUUUCUCGUAAUACAGGACUUGGGAACUAGUUAUUUAAAUGUUACUCUGAUCUUUUUCAUGUAUAAUCUCUUGCCCUUGUCCUUCAUUUAAAAGGGGCAACUGUAAUGGUAGUAAACAAAUUUCCUCCUUACCUAAGGAUAUAGGGUAGUCCAAUUCUGGGUCCACUUCAUAAACUAUAUCAAAAUGCUAAAUAUAGUUAUGGAUGCUAUACAGUAUACAAUGAGCAAUCAAAUAAUUGCCUAAAUCCAUAUUCAUAUUUGCUGUUCUCUCGUUAAGUAUCCAAAUUCUAUUUCAGGUUUGUAGUAAGAGAGCUUAACAUAAUAUAAAUAGAAGCAAUGUAAUAUAUUAUUUCAUCUGCUCUGACAAUUGUAUUGUGGUUGUGUGUGGAAAAGGAGGUACAGCAAAUGAUUGUCAGCAAAUCACUCACAAAAAUGUGAGAACUCCAAGUUCUUUGCACUUUAUUUCAUUAGACACCAAUAUUUGAUAUUUGUAUUUUAAAAUCCAAGUGUGUUCCAUAGAGUUAAAUAGUUUAUUCUGAUGUGCCCAGGUAGACUUUUGUCUUAUAAUAGAAAAUGUUUGGAUAUCUAGGGAAAUGGCAUCAGAAAAAUCAGGAAAUGCUUGUGAUUGUACAGGUACUUCACUUCUGAUUAUAUAAGUACUUUUAAAACAGUAAAAAUUUUAAACCCUAUACUUGCAUUGAAGUACAGCUAGAAUGCAAAUUUAGUAAUAAAACUGAAUAAUUUAGUAGCUUGUUUUGUGAUCAGGUCUGAUUGGUACUCUCUAAGACGUAUCCAAUUUUUAAAAA